rnacentral:rRNA from 1 species
UACGGAGGUGGCAAGCGUUGCUCGGAAUCACUGGGCGUAAAGGGUGCGCAGGCGGACUUGUUAGUCAGAGGUGAAAUCUCACGGCUCAACCGUGAAACUGCCUUUGAUACUGCAGGUCUUGAAUUGGGGAGAGAGUUGUGGAAUUCCGAGUGUAGCAGUGAAAUGUGUAGAUAUUCGGAAGAACACCAGUGGCGAAGGCAGCAACUUGGCCCCAGAUUGACGCUCAGGCACGAAAGCAUGGGGAUCAAACAGG